rnacentral:rRNA from 1 species
UUCUUUGGAGAGUUUGAUCCUGGCUCAGGACGAACGCUGGCGGCGUGCCUAAUACAUGCAAGUCGAGCGGACCGAACGAGGGCUUGCUCUUGUUUGGUCAGCGGCGGACGGGUGAGUAACACGUGGGCAACCUGCCCGCAAGACCGGGAUAACUCCGGGAAACCGGAGCUAAUACCGGA